CGAACGCUGGCGGCGUGCUUAACACAUGCAAGUCGAACGGAAAGGCCCUGCUUUUGUGGGGUGCUCGAGUGGCGAACGGGUGAGUAACACGUGAGUAACCUGCCCUUGACUUUGGGAUAACUUCAGGAAACUGGGGCUAAUACCGGAUAGGAGCUCCUGCUGCAUGGUGGGGGUUGGAAAGUUUCGGCGGUUGGGGAUGGACUCGCGGCUUAUCAGCUUGUUGGUGGGGUAGCGGCUUACCAAGGCUUUGACGGGUAGCCGGCCUGAGAGGGUGACCGGCCACAUUGGGACUGAGAUACGGCCCAGACUCCUACGGGAGGCAGCAGUGGGGAAUAUUGCACAAUGGGCGGAAGCCUGAUGCAGCAACGCCGCGUGCGGGAUGACGGCCUUCGGGUUGUAAACCGCUUUCGCCUGUGACGAAGCGUGAGUGACGGUAAUGGGUAAAGAAGCACCGGCUAACUACGUGCCAGCAGCCGCGGUGAUACGUAGGGUGCGAGCGUUGUCCGGAUUUAUUGGGCGUAAAGGGCUCGUAGGUGGUUGAUCGCGUCGGAAGUGUAAUCUUGGGGCUUAACCCUGAGCGUGCUUUCGAUACGGGUUGACUUGAGGAAGGUAGGGGAGAAUGGAAUUCCUGGUGGAGCGGUGGAAUGCGCAGAUAUCAGGAGGAACACCAGUGGCGAAGGCGGUUCUCUGGGCCUUUCCUGACGCUGAGGAGCGAAAGCGUGGGGAGCGAACAGGCUUAGAUACCCUGGUAGUCCACGCUGUAAACGGUGGGUACUAGGUGUGGGGUCCAUUCCACGGGUUCCGUGCCGUAGCUAACGCUUUAAGUACCCCGCCUGGGGAGUACGGCCGCAAGGCUAAAACUCAAAGGAAUUGACGGGGCCCCGCACAAGCGGCGGAGCAUGCGGAUUAAUUCGAUGCAACGCGUAGAACCUUACCUGGGUUUGACAUGGAUCGGGAGCGCUCAGAGAUGGGUGUGCCUCUUUUGGGGUCGGUUCACAGGUGGUGCAUGGCUGUCGUCAGCUCGUGUCGUGAGAUGUUGGGUUAAGUCCCGCAACGAGCGCAACCCUUGUUCACUGUUGCCAGCACGUUAUGGUGGGGACUCAGUGGAGACCGCCGGGGUCAACUCGGAGGAAGGUGGGGAUGACGUCAAGUCAUCAUGCCCCUUAUGUCCAGGGCUUCACGCAUGCUACAAUGGCUGGUACAGAGAGUGGCGAGCCUGUGAGGGUGAGCGAAUCUCGGAAAGCCGGUCUCAGUUCGGAUUGGGGUCUGCAACUCGACCUCAUGAAGUCGGAGUCGCUAGUAAUCGCAGAUCAGCAACGCUGCGGUGAAUACGUUCCCGGGGCUUGUACACACCGCCCGUCAAGUCAUGAAAGUUGGUAACACCCGAAGCCGGUGGCCUAACCGUUGUGGGGGAGCCGUCGAAGGUGGGACUGGUGAUUAGGAC
rnacentral:rRNA from 1 species